AUCUGGCACAGCUUUGCUCCCUUAACUCCUGGAUCUUUGUUUUGGUGGCGACCAGGGAGAGCAGGGAGCGCUGUGCUCGCAUUUCCCUCUGGCUUUUACACACACACACGCGCACACACACACACACACACAAACCCCCCUUUCCAACUUUCUGCUUUUUGCGCUUCCCUUCCAGUUUUUUUUCACUUCUCAGACCUACUGGCAGCAUUUGCCGAGAUCUAGAUCCCCGCCGUGGGCGUUGGGUGCUGGUGCAACAUGUCAAUUCAUCAGCCUGUUGACUACAGUACAGUAUGAUUUCACUAAUGACUGGGAUGCAUACUGCAGAUUACCACAUUUUGCAAAUUAGUAGAAUUGAAUGUAGGCAAUAGAAAAUUGACAGGUAUGGCUCAUAAUAUUUCCCUCCUUUGCAUCAUUAUUAUCUUUUUGAAAUGCUCAUAAUCCUGAAACUAAUUUUAUUUUACUCAUGUUGAUAAAAUAGUGUGCAUUGGAAACAGGAGAUGAUGAAUUAUAUUUUAG
ensembl:lncRNA